GAACGAUGAUCCCAGCUUGCUGGGGGAUUAGUGGCGAACGGGUGAGUAACACGUGAGGUAACCUGCCCUUGACUCUGGGAUAAGCCUGGGAAACUGGGUCUAAUACCGGAUAUGACUGUCUGACGCAUGUCAGGUGGUGGAAAGCUUUUGUGGUUUUGGAUGGACUCGCGGCCUAUCAGCUUGUUGGUGGGGUAAUGGCCUACCAAGGCGACGACGGGUAGCCGGCUUGAGAGGGUGACCGGCCACACUGGGACUGAGACACGGCCCCAGACUCCUACGGGAGGCAGCAGUGGGGAAUAUUGCACAAUGGGCGCAAGCCUGAUGCAGCGACGCCGCGUGAGGGAUGACGGCCUUCGGGUUGUAAACCUCUUUCAGUAGGGAAGAAGCGAAAGUGACGGUACCUGCAGAAGAAGCGCCGGCUAACUACGUGCCAGCAGCCGCGGUAAUACGUAGGGCGCAAGCGUUAUCCGGAAUUAUUGGGCGUAAAGAGCUCGUAGGCGGUUUGUCGCGUCUGCUGUGAAAGACCGGGGCUCAACUCCGGUUCUGCAGUGGGUACGGGCAGACUGGAGUGCAGUAGGGGAGACUGGAAUUCCUGGCGUAGCGGUGAAAUGCGCAGAUAUCAGGAGGAACACCGAUGGCGAAGGCAGGUCUCUGGGCUGUAACUGACGCUGAGGAGCGAAAGCAUGGGGAGCGAACAGGAUUAGAUACCCUGGUAGUCCAUGCCGUAAACGUUGGGCACUAGGUGUGGGGGACAUUCCACGUUUUCCGCGCCGUAGCUAACGCAUUAAGUGCCCCGCCUGGGGAGUACGGCCGCAAGGCUAAAACUCAAAGGAAUUGACGGGGGCCCGCACAAGCGGCGGAGCAUGCGGAUUAAUUCGAUGCAACGCGAAGAACCUUACCAAGGCUUGACAUGAACCGGUAAUACCUGGAAACAGGUGCCCCGCUUGCGGUCGGUUUACAGGUGGUGCAUGGUUGUCGUCAGCMUCGUGUCGUGAGAUGUUGGGGUUUGUCCCGCACGGAG
rnacentral:rRNA from 1 species